rnacentral:rRNA from 1 species
ACAGAGGUCUCAAGCGUUGUUCGGAAUCACUGGGCGUAAAGGGUGCGUAGGCUGCGCCGUAAGUCAGAUGUGAAAGCUCAGGGCUCAACCCUGAAAUUGCAUCCGAUACUGCGGUGCUAGAGAAAUGAAGGGGAGUCUAGAAUUUUCGGUGUAGCAGUGAAAUGCGUAGAUAUCGAAAGGAAUACCAAAGGCGAAGGCAGGACUCUGGGCAUUUUCUGACGCUCAUGCACGAAGGCUAGGGUAGCGAACGGGAUUAGAUACCCCGGUAGUCCUAGCAGUAAACGGUGCACGUUUGGUGUGGGCGCAUUCGACCGCGUCCGCGCCGGAGCUAACGCGUUAAACGUGCCGCCUGGGAAGUACGGUCGCAAGAUUA